AGUGGACGCUGGCGGUAGGCCUAACACAUGCAAGUCGAACGGCAGCACAGUAAGAGCUUGCUCUUACGGGUGGCGAGUGGCGGACGGGUGAGGAAUACAUCGGAAUCUACUUUUUCGUGGGGGAUAACGUAGGGAAACUUACGCUAAUACCGCAUACGACCUACGGGUGAAAGCAGGGGAUCUUCGGACCUUGCGCGAUUGAAUGAGCCGAUGUCGGAUUAGCUAGUUGGCGGGGUAAAGGCCCACCAAGGCGACGAUCCGUAGCUGGUCUGAGAGGAGGAUCAGCCACACUGGAACUGAGACACGGUCCAGACUCCUACGGGAGGCAGCAGUGGGGAAUAUUGGACAAUGGGCGCAAGCCUGAUCCAGCCAUACCGCGUGGGUGAAGAAGGCCUUCGGGUUGUAAAGCCCUUUUGUUGGGAAAGAAAAGCAGCAGGUUAAUACCCCGCUGUUCUGACGGUACCCAAAGAAUAAGCACCGGCUAACUUCGUG
rnacentral:rRNA from 1 species